GACGAACGCUGGCGGCGUGCCUAAUACAUGCAAGUUGAACGCUAAAGCUUUAACUGGUGCUUGCACCGACCUAAGUUUUUAGAGUAGCGGACGGGUGAGUAACACGUGGGUAACCUGCCCAUCAGAGGGGGAUAACACUUGGAAACAGGUGCUAAUACCGCAUAAUUCCUUUUACCGCAUGGUAAAAGGCUGAAAGGCGCUUCUGGUGUCACUGAUGGAUGGACCCGCGGUGCAUUAGCUAGUCGGUGGGGUAACGGCCUACCGAGGCGAUGAUGCAUAGCCGACCUGAGAGGGUGAUCGGCCACAUUGGGACUGAGACACGGCCCAAACUCCUACGGGAGGCAGCAGUAGGGAAUCUUGCGCAAUGGGCGAAAGCCUGACGCAGCGACGCCGCGUGCGGGAAGAAGGCCUUCGGGUUGUAAACCGCUUUCAGGAGGGACGAAGCUACUCGGGUUAAUAGCCCAGAGGGUGACGGUACCUCCAGAAGAAGCCCCGGCUAACUACGUGCCAGCAGCCGCCGUAAGAC
rnacentral:rRNA from 1 species